rnacentral:rRNA from 1 species
UUGACUGCGAGCGUGACGGCGCGAGCAGGUGCGAAAGCAGGUCAUAGUGAUCCGGUGGUUCUGAAUGGAAGGGCCAUCGCUCAACGGAUAAAAGGUACUCCGGGGAUAACAGGCUGAUACCGCCCAAGAGUUCAUAUCGACGGCGGUGUUUGGCACCUCGAUGUCGGCUCAUCACAUCCUGGGGCUGAAGUAGGUCCCAAGGGUAUGGCUGUUCGCCAUUUAAAGUGGUACGCGAGCUGGGUUUAGAACGUCGUGAGACAGUUCGGUCCCUAUCUGCCGUGGGCGCUGGAGAACUGAGGGGGGCUGCUCCUAGUACGAGAGGACCGGAGUGGACGCAUCACUGGUGUUCGGGUUGUCAUGCCAAUGGCACUGCCCGGUAGCUAAAUGCGGAAGAGAUAAGUGCUGAAAGCAUCUAAGCACGAAACUUGCCCCGAGAUGAGUUCUCCCUGAGACUUAAAGUCUCCUGAAGGAACGUUGAAGACGACGACGUUGAUAGGCCGGGUGUGUAAGCGCAGCGAUGCGUUGAGCUAACCGGUACUAAUGAACCGUGAGGCUUAACCUUACAACGCCGAAG